rnacentral:tRNA from 1 species
GCGCCAGUAGCUCAGUUGGACAGAGCAACGGAUUUCUAAUCCGUGGGUCAGGGGUUCGAAUCCCUUCUGGCGUGCCA